AACAAAAUUCAAAGCUCCCCUUUUCUCUCAAAAGAAAAAGAAAGAACCCCUAUCCGGCCUAAGGUCCCGACCGAGGGCCACCGUGUCGGUCUUCGGCGCCGCCGUGUACGGUUGCCGGCAAAGGUAAAAAUGUUUUUUUUUAAUCCUAUUUUUGACCCUUUAACCCGAAUCUGGCCUUAAAGCACCCAAAAAAAUAAAAAAAACUAUCAGCCCUUUCAACGACGGGUUUCGUCACCAAUGGAGAAACCCUCCGACGACGAGGGCACGUAUCCACUCCGAUGUUAGAUGCGUGGAUGCAGGCGGCGGCAGAGGCUUGCGAGGCUACUGCAGCAAGGCGUGCCGCUAGGGUUCCAAGGCUUCUUUUUUUCUGCUGAAAUUGUUUAGGCUGUAGGCCUAUUAAUUGGGCUUCGGGUUUUUUACUAUUGGGUUGGAAUUUUGGUUUAAUUUUGUUAUAAUGGACUGUUUAAUUUUGGGCUUUUAUUUGGUUUUUUAUUAUUUGAUUCUUGGUCGCCUGGCAAAAACGGGUCAUUACAUCUAUUUUUAAAGACAUUAGAUUGUUUUUUUUGGAAUUUCUCUUAUCACUUGGAAAAAGUGAAACACCUUGCAAUACAUAGUUCCAUGCAGUGUAACAUUAUUGUCUCGUGUUGUUCUUCACUGAAAAACAAUGAUAUUUUUUGUAAAA